rnacentral:misc_RNA from 1 species
CAGGAGUAACUAUGACUCUUUUAGGUAGCCAAUGCCUCGUCAUCUAAUUAGUGACGCGCAUGAAUGGAUUAACGAGAUUCUCACUGUCCCUAUCUACUAUCUAGCGAACCACAGC